UGGCCCAGUAGUUUCAGAGGAGAAGAUUUUUGUAAAAGAUUACUAAGAUUUACGAAAAAUGGUUAAAAAUUGACUAUAAAGGGCAAUAACUCCUAAAGGGGUCAACUGACCAUUUCCGUCAUGUUGACUUAUUUGUAAAUCUUACUUUGCUGAACAUUAUUCCUGUUUACAGUUUAUCUCUAUCUAUAAUAAUAUUCAAGAUAAUAACCAAAAACAGCAAAAUUUCCUUAAAAUUACCAAUUCAGGGGCAGCAACCCAACAACAGGUUGUCUGAUUCAUCUGAAAAUUUCAGGGCAGAUAGAUCUUGACCUGAUAAACAAUAUUACCCCAUGUCAGAUUUGCUCUAAAUGCUUUGGUUUUUGAGUUAUAAGCCAAAAACUGCAUUUGACCCUAUGUUCUAUUUUUAGCAAUGGCGACCAUGUUUGUUGAUAGAUCAUAACUUCGGAUACAAUUUACAAACAAGAUACCCUAAGGAACAUUCAGUUGAAGUUUGGAAGUAUUUGGGCCCAGUAGUUUCAGAGGAGAAGAUUUUUGUAAAAGAUUACUAAGAUUUACGAAAAAUGGUUAAAAAUUGACUAUAAAGGGCAAUAACUCCUAAAGGGGUCAACUGACCAUUUCCGUCAUGUUGACUUAUUUGUAAAUCUUACUUUGCUGAACAUUAUUCCUGUUUACAGUUUAUCUCUAUCUAUAAUAAUAUUCAAGAUAAUAAC
rnacentral:lncRNA from 1 species